ensembl:lncRNA
GGCAAAUUAAGUUAGGUUUAGAGAUCUGGACAGGACAGUCUGGGACCGCCCUGGUGAAUUGAGCACAAAAAGUCUGGGACUGAUCGGUUGGAGCCGUUAUGUUCUAUUAUCGAAAUUACAUAGGAGUUGAAAAGGCCUAAAAAAAAAAUCUGUGCAGUUGUAAUUUAAGACGUCUGUAAUAUAAAAUAUGAGAUCUAUGAGUAGGAUCAGUCUCUGUGUUAGUCAUGCACAGCCGGAUGUGCACUGAUUGUGUGUGUAAAUGCAAAUGAGCAGCAGUGACGCGCAGAGAGGGUGGUUUCAGUUUUCGAGAGGACUGAGAGCUUUUUGCUAAAUGCCUGUAUAUAAGAGCUUAUUAUGAGAAUGUAAAUACAGUGUGAAUAUAUUAGUGUGGAUGUAUAGUAAAUGACUGAAUUUUGAUAGAUGUACAUUUCGUGAGCCAUAAAUGUUGGUGUGUUUUAUUUUCAGUUAUGUGUGUGUGGGGAGAAGCUGCGAGGAUGAUGAGAGGUUUCAGUUUUCUUUUUCUUUUUCUUUUGACUUGCUCUUUCUGAUCAUGGAAGGCAUGUCCAAAAUACUCGUAUGAAAGCGUAUUUCGAGUGAUUUUAACUGUUGGGGGAGAAGCUGAUUGCAGGCUGACAGGAAACGGUGUGCUUUUGCAGAAGCGAAACCGAAACCAGAGCGAGUGCAAGCCAUAAUAAAGAGUUAGUAUGCAUUUAUCUUUGAUUUAAGAAGUUGUGCCUGUAUGAGUGACAUUUUCUACAGGAAGUGCACUUGAUGUUCCAGGGAGAUAAGCGACAGCGAAGGCGGGCUAACAGGAAGCAUCAGCCGUCGACACGAAGAUGAUGUUCUAUGUUAAAAGUCAUUGUGGUUUUGGUGUGACGUAAAUCUGCCUAGUAACAGAAAAGGGGGCUGUACAAUUCUUAACCCCAUAAAACAGUUGUCUGAAUAUGAGAAAGACAGUUCAACACUGAUUGGGUUGUUGAACUCACACAUGUGUUCAUUAAAAUGCC